UUUCAAAGCAUAUUAAGACCACCUCCAUCGGCGCUUCUUAAAUGGAGGUUCCAAACAAAAGAGAAAAAAAAUAAAUGAAAAAGGAAAAUAAAACACAGAACCCGUGUUUAAACUGGGAUUUUUAGGAUUGUUAGGAACCCUAACGUGUCACAUUCUUAUUUGACGGCUCAUUUAUGUCUCUCUCUCUCUCCUUCGAAAUCCCAUUUUUUCUAUUCCUCCUCCAAGCUCGAUCUCUCCAUCUUCUAUGUCGAUUCCAAUAAGCUCUACUUUAUUUCAACAGUGAAAGAUUGGUAACUCUUCAAGCUAAUAAAAUCUUUCAUUAUCCUCUCCGUCGAAUCUAAUGACCAUGGAAGCUCUCUCAACAUCAUCACACCUCUCUAAUUUGCCCCAGUCUUCGUGUUGGUCCUGUAAUCCGUGAAUCCACAAUCUGAGAAUCAGCAACGGAUCAAGCCACGGAGGGCUUCGUAUGCAAGCUCUCUUACACAACGACACGCCAAGUGAAGAUUAAUUUGAAGUAGAUCAUUUCCAGUGGCAUAUAGCUUCUUCUUAUUGUUGCUGUGAAGGAAAAAGAUUGAGACUUGUUCUCAUAGUAGUAUAAUCGAUGUGCAGACAUGAGGUUGUAGGCUUUACAACCAGAUAAGAUCGCUGUUGAUGGUGGUGAGCAGAACGUCAAGGUACUUUAUCUCAAAUCCCUCUCACUUGCUUUAGAUUCUCCAAACAUUCUUGUCCUUUGGUAAAUUGAAGUAGGUUCUUACUUGAUGGGAACUCUUUGACAUGUUCGAUAAUGUGAAGAACACUCUCUUUAGGAUGCUUGAUGGAAACUCCUCGAGGGAGAUGAUGUGAUGAAUGUGCAGAUAUGCUACAAGAAGAGGACUUCAAUCAUCAAAGUGUUUUUGACUCGCAUGGUUACCACAAUGGCGGAUGAAAGAGACGAGUCUCAGAGCAUUGAGCCCACAGGUAACAAUGAUCUUGUGGUAAGUAGUAUGUAGAGAGAACAACAAUAUGAUAUGUAAUAAGUGAAAGUAAUCAUUAAAACCUUAUGCUAGUUGAUGUAUGACUUGUUUUGAUCAAAUGGAAUCAGUUUGUUAAAAAAUUUUUAAGAACCUCAAAGAGAGGUUCUCCCAUUGGACCAUGAAAAAAUUAAUAACACUAACAAGGGUUCUAAACUUCUCAAAUCACAAAAUCAACUAUUAAAUUAUUCAUUAGAACCCAUUAUGGGUUCUAACCAAUGGACUUGCUCUAAGUACCCAGAUGCAAUGUUAUAUUGUGGUUUAGUCCAUGUUUUCAGAUUUUAUCACAAAACAUUGAGAGUUAUGAGCACAUAAAGUACACAAAGGAUGUACCGGUGUUUGAAGCUGCUCGUUCCAGGCACCAAGAAAGAAGUUCUUCACCAAAAACGUCUCCCUCU